CUUCAACGAGCCCAGGUAAAGCGGCCGCUCCUCCGGACGCCCCUGACCGUAGGUGGCCAGCAGGGCCUGUGCCUC
rnacentral:antisense_RNA from 1 species